GAGAUGCUUUGGUGCCUUCGGGAACUCUGAGACAGGUGCUGCAUGGCUGUCGUCAGCUCGUGUUGUGAAAUGUUGGGUUAAGUCCCGCAACGAGCGCAACCCUUUAUCCUUUGUUGCCAGCGGUCCGGCCGGGAACUCAAAGGAGACUGCCAGUGAUAAACUGGAGGAAGGUGGGGAUGACGUCAAGUCAUCAUGGCCCUUACGAGUAGGGCUACACACGUGCUACAAUGGCGCAUACAAAGAGAAGCGACCUCGCGAGAGCAAGCGGACCUCAUAAAGUGCGUCGUAGUCCGGAUUGGAGUCUGCAACUCGACUCCAUGAAGUCGGAAUCGCUAGUAAUCGUGGAUCAGAAUGCCACGGUGAAUACGUUCCCGGGCCUUGUACACACCGCCCGUCACACCAUGGGAGUGGGUUGCAAAAGAAGUAGGUAGCUUAACCUUCGGGAGGGCGCUUACCACUUUGUGAUUCAUGACUGGGGUGAAGUCGUAACAAGGUAAGCGUAGUGCU
rnacentral:rRNA from 1 species